rnacentral:rRNA from 1 species
GUCCUGGCCCUAAACGAUGCGCACUGGGUAGCGGCCCGUUCCGACGGGCCGCUGCCGGAGCAAAAGUGUUAAGUGCGCCGCCUGGGGAGUACGGCCGCAAGGUUAAAACUCAAAGGAAUUGACGGGGGCGUCACACAAGCGGUGGAGGAUGUUGCUCAAUUCGAAGCAACGCGAAGAACCUUACCAGGACUUGACAUGCUGGCGGUAGGACCCGGAAACGGGAACGACCUCCGCAAGGAGGGAACCAGCACAGGUGUUGCAUGGCUGUCGU